rnacentral:tRNA from 1 species
GAGGGUAUAUCUCAGUGGUAGACCACAUGCCUAGCAUGCAUGAGGUCCUGGGUUCAAUCCCAGUACCUCUA